GCUCCGGUAGCCCAACCGGUAGAGGCGAUACCCUCAAAAGGUAUUAAGUGUGGGUUCGAAUCCCACCCGGGGCA
rnacentral:tRNA from 1 species